GAACGCUAGCGGCAGGCUUAACACAUGCAAGUCCAGGGGUAGAGGCUUUCGGGCCUUGAGACCGGCGCACGGGUGCGUAACGCGUAUGCAAUCUGCCUUUCACAGAGGGAUAGCCCAGAGAAAUUUGGAUUAAUACCUCAUAGUAUUAUGGAAGGGCAUCCUUUUAUAAUUAAAGUCACAACGGUGAAAGAUGAGCAUGCGUCCCAUUAGUUAGUUGGUAAGGUAACGGCUUACCAAGACUUCGAUGGGUAGGGGUCCUGAGAGGGAGAUCCCCCACACUGGUACUGAGACACGGACCAGACUCCUACGGGAGGCAGCAGUGAGGAAUAUUGGUCAAUGGGCGCAAGCCUGAACCAGCCAUGCCGCGUGCAGGAUGACGGUCCUAUGGAUUGUAAACUGCUUUUGUACGAGAAGAAACAUCCCGACGUGUCGGGACUUGACGGUAUCGUAAGAAUAAGGAUCGGCUAACUCCGUGCCAGCAGCCGCGGUAAUACGGAGGAUCCAAGCGUUAUCCGGAAUCAUUGGGUUUAAAGGGUCCGUAGGCGGUCUUGUAAGUCAGUGGUGAAAGCCCAUCGCUCAACGAUGGAACGGCCAUUGAUACUGCAGGACUUGAAUUACUGGGAAGUAACUAGAAUAUGUAGUGUAGCGGUGAAAUGCUUAGAGAUUACAUGGAAUACCAAUUGCGAAGGCAGGUUACUACCGGUGGAUUGACGCUGAUGGACGAAAGCGUGGGUAGCGAACAGGAUUAGAUACCCUGGUAGUCCACGCCGUAAACGAUGGAUACUAGCUGUUGGGCGCAAGUUCAGUGGCUAAGCGAAAGUGAUAAGUAUCCCACCUGGGGAGUACGAACGCAAGUUUGAAACUCAAAUGA
rnacentral:rRNA from 1 species